rnacentral:rRNA from 1 species
CACGGAGUUAGCCGGAGCUUAUUCUCCCGGUACUGUCAUUAUCAUCCCGGGUAAAAGAGCUUUACAACCCUAAGGCCUUCACCACUCACGCGGCAUUGCUGGAUCAGGCUUUCGCCCAUUGUCCAAUAUUCCCCACUGCUGCCUCCCGUAGGAGUCUGGGCCGUGUCUCAGUCCCAGUGUGGCUGAUCAUCCUCUCAGACCAGCUAAAGAUCGUCGCCUUGGUGCGCCUUUACCACACCAACUAGCUAAUCUUACGCGGGCUCAUCCCUCGGCGAUAAAUCUUUGGACUUACGUCAUCAUCCGGUAUUAGCAGUCGUUUCCAACUGUUAUUCCGAACCAAGGGGCAGAUUCCCACGCGUUACGCACCCGUGCGCCACUAAGGCCGAAGCCUUCGUUCGACUUGCAUGUGUUAGGCAUGCCGCCAGCGUUCAUUCUGAGCCAGGAUCAAACUCU